UACGUAGGGGGCAAGCGUUGUCCGGAAUCAUUGGGCGUAAAGAGCGCGUAGGCGGUCCGGUAAGUCCGCUGUGAAAGUCAAGGGCUCAACCCUUGAAUGCCGGUGGAUACUGUCGGGCUAGAGUCCGGAAGAGGCGAGUGGAAUUCCUGGUGUAGCGGUGAAAUGCGCAGAUAUCCGGAGGAACACCAGUGGCGAAGGCGACUUUCUGGCCUGUUCUUGACGCUGAGGCGCGAAAGCUAGGGGAGCAAACGGG
rnacentral:rRNA from 1 species